GACGAACGCUGGCGGCGUGCUUAACACAUGCAAGUCGAACGGAAAGGCCCUGCUUGCAGGGUACUCGAGUGGCGAACGGGUUAGUAACACGUGGGUGAUCUGCCCUGCACUUCGGGAUAAGCCUGGGAAACUGGGUCUAAUACCGGAUAGGAGCCAUUUUUAGUGUGAUGGUUGGAAAGUUUUUUCGGUGUAGGAUGAGCUCGCGGCCUAUCAGCUUGUUGGUGGGGUAAUGGCCUACCAAGGCGGCGACGGGUAGCCGGCCUGAGAGGGUGGACGGCCACAUUGGGACUGAGAUACGGCCCAGACUCCUACGGGAGGCAGCAGUGGGGAAUAUUGCACAAUGGGCGCAAGCCUGAUGCAGCGACGCCGCGUGGGGGAUGACGGCCUUCGGGUUGUAAACUCCUUUCGCUAGGGACGAAGCUUUUUGUGACGGUACCUAGAUAAGAAGCACCGGCUAACUACGUG
rnacentral:rRNA from 1 species